CCUACGGGAGGCAGCAGUGAGGAAUAUUGGUCAAUGGCCGGAAGCCUGAACCAGCCAAGCCGCGUGAAGGAAGAAGGUGCCAAGCAUUGUAAACUUCUUUUGUCAAGGACCAAAAUCAGGCUCGAGAGCCUGACCGAGGGUACUUGAAGAAAAAGCAUCGGCUAACUCCGUGCCAGCAGCCGCGGUAAUACGGAGGAUGCGAGCGUUAUCCGGAUUUAUUGGGUUUAAAGGGUGCGUAGGCGGAAUGUUAAGUCAGCGGUAAAAGCCCGGGGCUCAACCCCGGCGAGCCGUUGAAACUGGCUGUCUUGAGAUGGCGAGAGGUAUGCGGAAUGCGAGGUGUAGCGGUGAAAUGCGUAGAUAUGGCGCAGAACUCCGAUUGCGAAGGCAGCAUACCGGCGGUGAUCUGACGCUGAGGCACGAAAGCGUGGGUAUCGAACAGGAUUAGAUACCCGUGUAGUC
rnacentral:rRNA from 1 species